rnacentral:rRNA from 1 species
AUGAAUCACUUAGUGUGGAACUGCCAGGGGGUGGGGAACCGCCGGACAGUUCGUGAGUUGUUGGCGCUCGUUCAAGCCAACGUCCCCAAGCUUGUCUUCCUCUAUGAGACUAGACAAGUUGCUUGCAGUGUGCAAAGAUUAAUAGAAAGACUGGGUUUGAGAGGCUUUUCUGGUGUUGAUAGCAAUGGAUUGAGUGGAGGACUCGCUUUGUUCUGGGAUGAGUCCCUGCAGGUGGAUGUGUUAGAUAAAUGUGACAGAUACAUUGACGUUUUUGUGGUGGAUCAUGGCAGUGGUAAGAGUUGGAGGUCAACUUAUGUGUAUGGUGAACCAAGAGUCGAAAAUAGACAUUUGAUGUGGGAACACCUUGCCAGAUUGAGAGCCGUAUCCGCUAAACCAUGGCUUGUAUGUGGAGACUUUAAUGAGGUCAUGUGGCAACAUGAGCGCUUAUCAAGGUCUACUCGAGCUGAGAGUCAAAUGAAUGCGUUCAGAGAUGUGUUAGAGACUUGCGAACUAUUGGACCUGGGCUUUUCAGGAGCACCUUUUACAUAUAACAAUGGCCAGCAGGGUUACUGCAAUGUCAUUAUUAGAUUGGAUCGAGCGUGUGCCGAUGAUGCGUGGAAGGUUUUGUUUCCUCUUGCGUAGGUUGUGCAUCUCGCGACCUCUCGUUUUGAUCAUAGUCCACUGCUGGUGCGCGCGCGUGGGACACAGGAUAAU